AACGAACGCUGGCGGCAUGCCUAACACAUGCAAGUCGAACGAGACCUUCGGGUCUAGUGGCGCACGGGUGCGUAACGCGUGGGAACCUGCCCUUAGGUUCGGAAUAACUCCCCGAAAGGGUGCUAAUACCGGAUAAUGUCUUCGGACCAAAGAUUUAUCGCCUUUGGAUGGGCCCGCGUUGGAUUAGCUAGUUGGUAGGGUAAAAGCCUACCAAGGCGACGAUCCAUAGCUGGUCUGAGAGGAUGAUCAGCCACACUGGGACUGAGACACGGCCCAGACUCCUACGGGAAGCAGCAGUGGGGAAUAUUGGACAAUGGGCGAAAGCCUGAUCCAGCAAUGCCGCGUGAGUGAUGAAGGCCUUAGGGUUGUAAAGCUCUUUUACCCGGGAUGAUAAUGACAGUACCGGGAGAAUAAGCUCCGGCUAACUCCGUG
rnacentral:rRNA from 1 species